GGGCGAUUAGCUCAGUGGUAGAGCGUUCCCUUCACACGGGAAAGGCCGUGGGUUCGAUACCCUCAUCGCCCACCA
rnacentral:tRNA from 2 species